UUCUAUUGUGUUAGCAAUUAUGGGUGUUUCUUCUUGUAAGGUUAAUGUAGAUGAUUCAGGGAUUUCUGUAGAAAUUUUCUCCUUUCCUUUGUCCUGAAUGUUUAAAGUUUUCUCUUUAAUUUCUAAUUUAGAUAAUUUUGAUAUUAAUUGAUCCAUUAAGGUUUUAUUAUCUUCUCCAAAAUUAAAUUUUUCUUUAUCAAGUGAUGGAGGUGGUUUAAAUAAAACAUUUGUGGUUUCUUUUAUAGGUACAGGUCUUAACAUAUUUUCAAUUCUGGAUGCUUGC
rnacentral:lncRNA from 1 species